GUCCCAGACUCCUACGGGAGGCAGCAGUGGGGAAUAUUGGGCAAUGGGCGCAAGCCUGACCCAGCAACGCCGCGUGAAGGAAGAAGGCCCUCGGGUUGUAAACUUCUUUUAUCAGGGACGAAACAAAUGACGGUACCUGAUGAAUAAGCCACGGCUAACUACGUGCCAGCAGCCGCGGCAAUACGUAGGUGGCAAGCGUUAUCCGGAUUUACUGGGUGUAAAGGGCGUGUAGGCGGGAGAGCAAGUCAGACGUGAAAUUCCAGGGCUCAACCCUGGAACUGCGUUUGAAACUGUUCUUCUUGAGUGAUGGAGAGGCAGGCGGAAUUCCGUGUGUAGCGGUGAAAUGCGUAGAUAUAAGGAAGAACACCAGUGGCGAAGGCGGAUUACUGGACGAUAACUGACGGUGAGGCGCGAAAGCGUGGGGAGCAAACAGGAUUAGAUACCCCUGUA
rnacentral:rRNA from 1 species